UUACGGGUACAGCAGCAGCGUGGCCUAUUCGGAGCGGCUAGAGGAUAGGAGAGCCGCUCUGUUUUGGUGUGUUUUAGCGCGCGUUUUUGGUGGGGGUGGUGGCGCCUGUGGUGGCGUCCCGCAUUCGCGCGUGCGGCAGCUCCAGGUGGUACUGGUACGAGCGAAGGGAGAAGAGGGGAAGGGGAGAGGAGUGGUGGCGGCGGAGGUGGAGGAGGAGACGGUGGAGCGUCGGUCGCGGUGUCUGACACUCCGAGGGCCGAGGGUCCGGCGAGUGGCGGUGUGACCGGCGCCGUCGGCGCCGGCCGGAGGAGGACGAUUGGGGGCGUCGCGGCAGCGUGCGCCUCCCCCUCAAGUUCCACAUGAUGCCGUGCCGCCGCUCGCGCCGGUUGAUGCCGCCCAUGCCGCCGUUGCGCUUGUUCUCCCUGCGCCGCCUCAUGCACAUGCUGCACGGGCUCCCCACCUUUCUCGCAGACCACAGUUUCCACCUCUUCCCGUGGUUGCCGUGCCUGUCGCUCAAGAAGUUGGGCGCGUUCGCGAGGCUCGCCCUCAUGGAGUGGAAGGAGAGGCCCAAGGCGUUCGACCGGGGGCAGCCGCGGCACGACCUGUUGGAGCGUGAGAGGCUGCAGCCCGACGUCCUGGUCUAGAGCAGCCGCCUGCUGCACUGCAGCCGCCUCGCCUUCCUGCGCCUGCCCGUCCACAUGAUGCUCAUGCUCCACCGGCCGCGGCCGCGCGUGUCGGAGUAGAGACACUGCACGCGGGCCUUGUUCGAGAUGCGCGUGAAGCAGUGCCGCGGGUUGGGGCUCACCCCCGCGCUGCUCCGGCAGGAGGCGGCGGACGUGGUCAGGAAGUUCUGGCAGCUGAAGUCGCCGGUUCUAAUUGUACGUACGACGCGCAAUGAAUUCGCCAAAACAUAUCCGCAAUAGUAGCUUCUUCUCCGUUAACUAGACCUACUAAUAAGUCUUGGCCGUAUGUCAUAGAACUAGACAUUUAACGAAAGAAGGAUACAAAGUUGUCGGGACUGUCCCGCCUGGGCGUCCAGUCGCUCCUGGUAGCGUAGUGGUGCCGAGGCGCGCGCUGGUCCGGGUCCUUCGGGUUGGGUUCGCAGUAACCCGACCGAACCCAUUUGACUUCGGGCCGAUGUGCUGAUGAACUCCUCCCUAGCUCUAGUUCGCGUCCGUGCUGCUGUGCCGAGAAUAAGGGAAGGGGAGGAGAGAGCGGUGCUUGGGAUCGAUAGGGGUAAGAACAUUAGAAGGACAUUAGCGAUGGUCUAACUUGGAAAUACUCACUUCACAACGAUCAUUAGUACUCUAGGGAGAGGUGGGAGUGUAGACCAUAGUCUCUGGUCGUUAAGG
rnacentral:rRNA from 1 species